GAACUACCGGCGCGCCGUGGGCUUGGCGCAGGCGCAGACGUGGCUCCUUAACUUAGAAAUUGUAUCUUGGGCUGGUUUCAUGAAAAUCCACUUGGGAUUGCCCAGUGCACACGGUAGACAUGGAAAUUGAUCAUCAGCAUCCCCAGAUACUGUCAUGUCUGGAUGGGAGUCCUGAGAUUGCGGCAGCCCUCCCAUGAUGAACCAGAGGAGGAAGCCUCAUGUGGAAGAAGGCAGGACCCACAGCCAUAGUUGCACAGAUCUAUUCAAGCCACACUGAUCACUGCCCUAACCUCCGGAUUUGUUUGGUUACACCAAUUGAAAAAAAGGAGGGGGACUCAGGAGUCCAAAUGACCUGCCUUUAAAAAGUCACCUUACUACAUUGGUAGCAAAGGGUGAAGCUGCUUUGAGACCAUGUUUUUCUGAUCCAGGUUUUGUAAUUGAUCUACUCAAUCCCUCAAUGCCCACCAAUCCCUACUGGACAUCAAGAGUGAGAGUCACAAGCAGAUGUCUCUCAGAUGGGAACUGGUUGUCACAUAUGGUUAGUUUGAUUUGUUCCAGGUUUUAAAAAUCGGAUAAUUUCACAGAAUUCUAGAUUUUUUACUUCUACUGAAAAACCAGAAAAUCUGGAAGCAAUGACAUUAUAUUCUUUUGUGGAGACAAUGGCCUGGAACCAAACAGCAGCUUCCUCCUUUAGAUGAGGUAUGAGAUUUCUGGUCCCCACAGUCCAUGCCAUUCCCUAUUGCCUUGCAACUGGAUCACUCUGCCCGUGGCUGUUCCCUGUCCAGCCCCUGGAUGUAUUGGGUUUAUGAAUCCUGGCCUUGAAUCUCAAUGAUGUGUUCUGCAUUAGCCAGACAAGAAUGCCUCACUAGAAUGUAAGCUCCAUGAGGGCAGGAAUUGUCAUCUGUUUUCUUGACUGUGUCUAAUUGUGCCUUAGAGCAGUGUCUGCAGUGUACUCGACCUACAAUACAGAUUUGUGAGUGAAUGAAUGAAUGAAUGAAUGAUAUCUUUGUGUGGCCUAGGUGUUUUGGGGCUGAUGGUCUGCUGAAAAUGCGGGAUCCUAGGGAGCGCUGAGAAGUAUCAGAAGCCAAGAAAAUUCUUCUGACUGAGACAUAUUUGCAGGGCCAUCUUGUUUUAAAUCUCUAUCAGACUAUUUUGGUCUCUUCUUUUGCUUUUGUGUAGUUUAAUACCAUGGAGGUUCCAGCUCUUCCCCUUGCUGGGUUUGGGUUUGGGGACAGACACCCUGAAUGUUGCAGGCUCCACUUCUCUUGCUGUCUACAUCCUGCCCACUGGAACAUUCUACCCCAUCACCCCAAGGCCCCACAAAUAUAAGCCCAUCAGGCUUCUGGAUCACAGCCAGUCUUCAGGCUAUCUCUAAGGGUUCUUUUUUUUCUCCUUCCUUAAUUAGAUUCUAGCAUUCAAUAUACCUGCUUUACCUUCAGAGAUCCAGACGUUUUGGGUGGAUUCUUGGCAAAGAAAGAACAUUUGGGCCUAGAUAAAAGGUGUCAGGAAUAACUGGGCUUGAAAAUCAUUGGGCUGCUGCAUUACUGGAGAUGAGAUGGUUGGAUUCAGAGAUAGGGGAAAAGGAGACCUUCAGCGACUUUCUCUUCCUGUUUGGAUCCACAUGGAAUCUCGAAGAGGCAAAUUUCAUCCUCCUGGCUCCACUGUGACUCCUUAGGAAGGACGCU